UUGAAAGGGAAACGAUUGAAGUCAGUCGUACCUAUGGGUAAUCAGCCUUUUGGGUGUGAUUUUGUGGAGCGUGAGGAGUUAAACGCCUUCAUGCCUGCAUAUUCGUGCACUUUGGGUGUACUUGCCCGUAUGGUUGGUUAACAUCAAUUUUGGUGGUCAUAAAAUGACUGGAGGAAUGUAGCUUCGAUCUCGUAUUGAAGUGUUAUAGCCUUCGGUAGAUGUGAUGAUCGAGAUUGAGGAUUGCAACGGAUACCUUCGGGGCUACCUGUCUGAUCUCUGAUCGUUGCUCUGGUGCCGAAAGCUUGCUUACGGUUAUCAAAGUCGAUGGUCAAUAGGUUAGAACGGGUUAAAUUCGUUAAGGAUGUUGACGUA
rnacentral:rRNA from 1 species